GACGGAGGAUGCAAGCGUUAUCCGGAAUGAUUGGGCGUAAAGCGUCCGCAGGUGGCAGUUCAAGUCUGCUGUCAAAGACCGGGGCUUAACUUCGGAAAGGCAGUGGAAACUGAACAGCUAGAGUAUGGUAGGGGCAGAGGGAAUUCCUGGUGUAGCGGUGAAAUGCGUAGAGAUCAGGAAGAACACCGAUGGCGAAGGCAGCUCUCUGGGACGGUACUGACGCUGAGACGCGAAAGCGUGGGGAGCGAACAGG
rnacentral:rRNA from 1 species